UCAUUUAUUUCUUGCCUUUAAACCA
rnacentral:piRNA from 1 species